UGCUACAAUGGCAGAUACNAAGGNCANCUACCUGGUAACAGGAUNCUAAUCUCAAAAAACUCGUCUCAGUUCGAAUUGAGGUCUNCAACUCGACCUCAUGAAGCUGGAAUCGCUAGUAAUCGUAUAUCAGCAUGAUACGGUGAAUACGUUNCCGGACCUUGUACACACCGCCCGUCAAGCCAUGGAAGCUGGGUGUACCUAAAGCCGGUAACCGCAAGGANCCGCCUAGGGUAAAACUAGUAACUGGGGCUAAGUCGUAACAAGUNACCU
rnacentral:rRNA from 1 species